CACGUAGGCGGACUGAUCAGUCAGGGGUGAAAUCCCGGGGCUCAACCCCGGAACUGCCUUUGAUACUGUCAGUCUUGAGUCCGAGAGAGGUGAGUGGAACUCCGAGUGUAGAGGUGAAAUUCGUAGAUAUUCGGAAGAACACCAGUGGCGAAGGCGGCUCACUGGCUCGGUACUGACGCUGAGGUGCGAAAGCGUGGGGAGCAAACA
rnacentral:rRNA from 1 species